ensembl:lncRNA
AAAAAAACCUAAAACAGGUACUGGUGAUCUUUAAACAAACAAACAAACAAAAAACUCAAACGGGUAUUGGUGAUCUUUAAACAAACAAAUAAACAAACAAACAAAAACUCAAACGGGUACUGGUGAUCUUUAAACAAACAAACAAACAAACAAACAAACAAACAAACAAACAAAAAACUCAAACAGGUACAAGUGAUCUUUAAACAAACAAACAAACAAACAAACAAAAAAACAAACAAACACUCAAACAGGUACAGGUGAUCUUUAAACAAACAAACAAACAACAAAAACUCAAACAGGUACUGGUGAUCUUUAAACAAACAAACAAACAAACAAACAAACAAACAAACAAAAAACUCAAACAAGUACAGGUGAUAUUUAUACAAACUGGAAAACAAAUUGGUAUGUGUGAGUGAUGUAAAUACCUCAAAUUAAAAAAUGCAUGGGUGUUUACUUUUCUACUCUAACAGCAGGUGUUUGUGUUUUCAUGCAG